CUAGCGACUUCAGAGUUUGAUCCUGGCUCAGGAUGAACGCUAGCGGCAGGCUUAACACAUGCAAGUCGAGGGGCAGCAUAAGUGUUAGCAAUAACACUUGAUGGCGACCGGCGCAAGGGUGCGUAACGCGUGAGCAACUUGCCCUUAUCAGGGGGAUAACCAAUGGAAACGUUGACUAAUACCCCAUAGUAUAGCUUUGAGGCAUCUCUUAGUUAUUAAAGAAUUUCGGAUAAGGAUAGGCUCGCGUGACAUUAGCUAGAUGGCGGGGUAACGGCCCACCAUGGCGACGAUGUCUAGGGGUUCUGAGAGGAAGGUCCCCCACACUGGAACUGAGACACGGUCCAG
rnacentral:rRNA from 1 species